GGUCUUUUCAUCUCCGAAUAAAUAUGCUCUUAUCUGGCAGUUAGCUAUCUGGAGGAUAAAUAUUUAUUCGCCAGAUAAAAUGUACCCGUCUUUUCACGUCAAUUUAUGUUCCAGUUAGUUAUCCGGUAGAUAAGCUUAAAAGUAAGUUUGGAUUCCGAACACACCUGACUUUUAUGUUUAUUUUUAUAAUUUCAGCUUUAACUUAACCUAACAUAAUUAGAUUCAAAGUAUUUCAAAGAUGAUUUUAUCGAUUUUAUUUCCAUUUUGGAAGAAGGAAUGAAGGAAAUAAGGAAAACAUUGAUUAUGCUGAAAUAGUUUACUGGAGAGCUUGAACAAGAGGUAAAUCCAUUUUAAAUUAGAGGAAAACUGUUGAUUUGUAUGUAAAAUAGAAGACAAAGACAAGUUUAAAUAAAGACAAGCUAGCUAAUGAAACAGAUGCAGUGAUAUGACAAACACCUAGAAGAUGGAAUCCUGUGUUCUCAAAGAAAAAGCUAGUUCCAGAAAUAAGCUACCAAUAAUAAACUAGAGAAUGUAUUACAAGAAAGAACAACGCUAAUACCCAACAUAGCUCAAUUGCUUCAGAUAGAAAAAGAGGAGGAAAGGGUAGAACACAAGCGUGCCAGAGAAAAUUAAAGGGCAGAAGAGACACAAAAAUUCAUUGAUUUAUUAAAUUUAAUAAUUAAAUUAUACAAAGGACAAUUAAAUAAAGAAUAAAAAAUUA